CCUACGGGAGACAGCAGUGGGGGAUAUUGCACAAUGGGGGAAACCCUGAUGCAGCGACGCCGCGUGGGUGAAGAAGCGCCUCGGCGCGUAAAGCCCUGUCAGCAGGGAAGAAAAUGACGGUACCUGAAGAAGAAGCCCCGGCUAACUACGUGCCAGCAGCCGCGGUAAUACGUAGGGGGCAAGCGUUAUCCGGAUUUACUGGGUGUAACGGGGGCGCAGACGGCGAUGCAAGCCAGGAGUGAAAGCCCGGGGCCCAACCCCGGGACUGCUCUUGGAACUGCGUGGCGAGAGUGCAGGAGGGGCAGGCGGAAGUCCUGGUGUAGCGGUGAAAUGCGGAGAGAGCAGGAGGAACACCGGGGGCGAAGGCGGCCUGCUGGACUGCAACUGACGUUGAGGCCCGAAAGCGUGGGGAGCAAACAGGAUUAGAUACCCCGGUAGUC
rnacentral:rRNA from 1 species